rnacentral:rRNA from 1 species
GUAAACUCUGUUGUUAGGGAAGAACAAGUGGUAUAACUGACCCGAUCUUGACGGUACCUAACCAGAAAGCCACGGCUAACUACGUGCCAGCAGCCGCGGUAAUACGUAGGUGGCAAGCGUUGUCCGGAAUUAUUGGGCGUAAAGCGCGCGCAGGUGGUUUCUUAAGUCUGAUGUGACAGCCCACGGCCUCAACCGUGGAGGGUCAUUGGCAAACUGGGGAACUUGAGUGCAGACACAGGAAAGUGGCAUUCCAAGUUGUACCGGUGAAAUUGCGUAGAUCUCUGGCGGAACCACAUUGGCGAUUGCGA